rnacentral:lncRNA from 10 species
GGCUUGUUUGGGAAGCUCUCUGAAUUUUAUGGCCUUGAGGUCCUUGAGAGUGACAUCAUUUGAGGUUGCUAUGAAGUUUUAUGUCUCACUUUUACUUAUGCAACUGUUUGCAGUCCUUUGGUUGCUCCUUCUCUCAGUGUCAUGCAAAACUUUGCAGAAAUGACCUGUGAAUUUGAUCCAAAGAAUGUAUCAUUGCUACUCAAGGGACAUGCUAUGUACAGAAACAAGACUAUGGAUCUUAUUUGGUCAUCCAGGCUGGACUGCAGUGGUGUGAUCAUAGCUCACUGCAGCCUCAAACUGCUGGACUCCAGUGAUCUUCCAGCCUCAGCCUCCCCCGGUAGCAAGGACUACAGGUCUCACUCUCUGUCGCCCAGCCUGGAGUGCAGUGGCAUCAUCUGAGCUCACUACAACCUCCGCCUCCCGGGUUCAAGCGAUUCUCCUGCCUCAGCCUCCUGAGUAGCUGGGACUACAGGCACGCGCCACCACGCCCAGCUAAUUUUCGUAUUUUUAAUAGACAUGGGGUUUCACCAUGUUGGCCAGGCUGCUCUUGAACUGCUAACCUCAAGUGAUCCACCAGCGUUGGCCUCUCAAAGUACUAGGAUUACAGUGCUAGGAGCCACCAUGCCCGGCCGCCUCUCUUUUCUUUUACACAUGAAGAAAAAGUGGUCAGAGAAGUUAACUUGGUCAGUGCCAAAAGCACUGGAAGUGAGUAGGACCAAGCUUUUCAUCUAGAUUUGUUUGUUAGACUCUAAAUCCAAAUUCACAACAAGAUCAGAAUAUGAGAAACCUAAGGAACAAAAUUCUAGGAAUCAUUUCUAGAAACUGUGGCUAUUGAAAAAGCACAGACCUAGGGAAUCAAAUUAUUUUCCCUGCCACCAGCACAUGGGUAGGCCUGUGACAAAUUCCAUGCUCUGGACCCCAGAUUCCUCAGUGAGAAUAGAAGGGGCUAGAGACAUCAGGGAAUUGGAUUUGGUGACUUUAAUACCCACUCAGCUCCAAAGCAUUCUUGAAUGAUGCACGAUUUAUGAAUAUAUAUAUUGAAAUUUACUGAUGGGUGAACAGCUCUCAACAUGAGAUUUUUGUUGUAUGCCUUAAAAAAGAUUAUACAUAAAUAUGCGUGUGUGUGUGUAUGUAUGUUUCGAUGUAUAUGAACCCAUGAUCUGAAAAAUGGCCACUGUGGCUUGUGGAAACCUAUUAAUCUCUGCUGUUCCACCCAACAUCCUCAGAGAAAAAAAUAAACAACUUUUUGAAAGUGCUGCCAUGGGGUCAGACCAAAUACUGUGGCCACUUCCAAGGGGUUUGCCUUGAUUUGCCUGGAUUCCUGUUCAUGUGACAUCUGCCUUCUAAUUCAAGGAUAUGAUCAAUUCAAUGUGUGAGUUAUCAAUCAAGGACUGGCAACAGUGAUGCUGAACAAGCCUGGUGGAAGGAAAGAGAAGGCAGGCCAGAGCCCAGACAGACGCAUUCACAAACCUUACAAAGAGGACAGGCUAAUUAGGGGCUGUAGUUCUCCCUCUCUUUAUAGUUGGUAUAAGAGGAGUGGUAAUCGUAGUGUCCAAAAAUAUAUGGGCUACAUAGUUGCUUAGUAAGCUGUGGGUAUGUGGUUUCUUCUGCAAGGUGCUUUCUUUCUGAUAAAGAGAUUACGUUGUUUGUUUGUUCAUUUAUUGAACAUAUUUACACUUACACACACACACACACACACACACAAUGUUCCAGAUACCGUACUUGGCAAUGGUAGUUAGACCUUGCUCUUGCAAAAUUUAUAAUGAAGUUGGGAAGUGUGGUUUGAUCCCUCAAAGUGUCCAAAUCCUAAUCCCCAG